rnacentral:rRNA from 1 species
GACGAACGCUGGCGGCGUGCCUAAUACAUGCAAGUUGAGCGAUGAAGAUUGGUGCUUGCACCAAUUUGAAGAGCAGCGAACGGGUGAGUAACGCGUGGGGAAUCUGCCUUUGAGCGGGGGACAACAUUUGGAAACGAAUGCUAAUACCGCAUAACAACUUUAAACAUAAGUUUUAAGUUUGAAAGAUGCAAUUGCAUCACUCAAAGAUGAUCCCGCGUUGUAUUAGCUAGUUGGUGAGGUAAAGGCUCACCAAGGCGAUGAUACAUAGCCGACCUGAGAGGGUGAUCGGCCACAUUGGGACUGCGACACGGCCCAAACUCCUACGGGAGGCAGCAGUAGGGAAUCUUCGGCAAUGGACGAAAGUCUGACCGAGCAACGCCGCGUGAGUGAAGAAGGUUUUCGGAUCGUAAAACUCUGUUGGUAGAGAAGAACGUUGGUGAGAGUGGAAAGCUCAUCAAGUGACGGUAACUACCCAGAAAGGGACGGCUAACUACGUG